ACGGGUAGAGACCCGUCAAAGGUAAAAGUCACUUUUGACGGAGUUCAACUGAAAUCCGUCACUGAAGACCUCCACCUAUGACGGUUAAAUAUAUUAACUCUUUGAUGGUGAUCCUUAUCUGUGAGUGGUCUCAAUUCCGUCACGGACCUAAAAAAUGUGGCAAAAAUAAUUAUAGACAUAGCUAGUCAUAGACUUUCAUUAGGCAUUCACAAAUCACAAAAGUAAUCACAUUCACAAUCAUUUGGACACAAAACAGAAUCACAAGAAACAUCACAAUCACGUUCAUUUGGUCAAACAACAAAAUUACUUCACAUUUACAAUCAUUUGGGCACAAAACAAAAUCAAAAAAAAUCAUCACCACUGGCAGAUCUGGUGGUUGGGGCCUGGAUCUGCCUAGAAGCUCCAGAUCCGGCCGGCGCCUGCAAGCUUGGGCCGAUGGAGGUGUAGACGGAGGCGGCAGAGCCCGCAGCCGAAGGCGGAGUUGGCGGAGCCCGCGGGUGGUGGCGUAGGCGGCGACCGGAGCAUGAGCCGGCGGAUGUGGAGGGCGCCGCCAUCAGGCCACCAUUGCCUCCCCUCCCGCUGUUGGCUGCCACCGCACCAUGGCUCUAGAUCCGUCCAGUUCCACCGUGCCUCCCCUCCCGCCCCUGCCGGAUCUAGCGGAGGGGAGGGCGCCGUCGCCCAUGCCGGACCGGCGUGCCACCCCUCCCGCCCUUGCCUGGCCGCCACUCAUGCACAGAGAGAGAGGGAGAGAUAGAGAAAUGGGGAAUGGGGCAGAGAACCGAG
rnacentral:lncRNA from 1 species